CAGAUCUAAGUUUACAACGUAUUAAUAAUUCUCCACUUUGAAACAGAAUUGCUUCUUUAAAAAUAUUUAAUCAAUGAACUCUAUGCCAAGAUUUACUAACUCUCCUAACCCAUUUUGAGAACAUGAAUGGCCAAGUUAAUAGGAUAACAGAUAACCAGUUAAAAGAAGUUAGUUAAAAUGAAAAAUGGAGAAACUAAAACAAAGCAGUAUUGCAAACAUUUCAAAAGCUGCCAUCAGAAAAGAAACAAAAUGGAUAUACAGCUUGUUGCAUAAAGAAAACUGUUUACAGUUUUUUUCGUUUCAGUU
rnacentral:lncRNA from 1 species